rnacentral:rRNA from 1 species
AGCGAAAAGGUUUCCGUAGGUGAACCUGCGGAAGGAUAUUCAAAAAGGUCCAAAUAGCAUGCUUGUGCACAUCAACUGCUAUUUGAACCUUUAUUCUACCUUGAUUUUUUGCGUACUCCUGUUUCCUUGGUGGGCUUGCCUGCCAGCUGGACAAAUCUAUAACCCUUUUAAUGUUUAAUCAGCGUCUGAGUAAAUUUAAUAAUUACAACUUUCAACAACGGAUCUCUUGGUUCUGGCAUCGAUGAAGAACGCAGCGAAAUGCGAUAAGUAGUGUGAAUUGCAGAAUUCAGUGAAUCAUCGAAUCUUUGAACGCACAUUGCGCCCCUUGGUAUUCCAUGGGGCAUGCCUGUUCGAGCGUCAUUACACCAAUCACGCCUGGCGUGGUAUUGGGCGACGGGGCCGUCACACGCCCCGCGCCCCAAUGACUCCCCGGCGGGACGGACCGUAUCUCAGCGUUGUGCAAACUGCCGCUGGCGAGACGGGCUCGGCCGUGCCGUGAAAACCUCAAUUUUUAUUCAGGUUGACCUCGGAUCAGGUAGGGAUACCCGCUGAACUUAAGCAUUCAAAAGCGGAGAAAAGAAACCAA